GCUUUUAAUUACCAUGUAGGAAGCGCCGGUUCUCGUCCGAUCACCGAAGUUAACUACAUAUGGCUGGGUUAGUACCUGCGUGGCUGACCGGCUGGGAAUACCCGGUGUUGCUGACU
rnacentral:rRNA from 1 species